rnacentral:sRNA from 1 species
CUUUAUAAAUUAGGAUGAUUUGAUAUGUUUAAUAUUAGUGGUCUUAAAAAAUAAUAAAUUAAAGAUUUAACCCGUAUUGAAACAGUGGAUUAAUUAUAUUUUACUUUUUUAUUAAUGUUGAUUCAAAAACCCGUCCCUCCAAAUCCGUCUUGCCAAAAAACUAUUUAUUUUAUUAAUAUUAAUUUUAUUUAUGAUAUGACUCUUAAUUAUAAUCUAAACAUUUUAGCUAAUAACAUAGGAGUGCACCAUAUUUAUUUAAUAGGGGAAUGUAUCAUAUGACCCGAAUAUAGUAGUUAAAUAUUAGUUAGUUUAAAUUAGUUAAAGAAUACAAAUUGAAAAUGUAUAUUACACUUUAUUCGAAAAUAGUAUCAAAAUUUAUAUAACACAGAGAUUUGAUAAUUUUUUAAUUGUUGAAUACUUUUUUUUUGUGCUAAUUUUUAUGUGAUUAAGAUUUAAUUGAUUUCGUAUGUAAAAUAUUAAAUUGUUUUACGAACUUAUUUGUUUAUAAUUUGGUAACAGAUAGAUAUUUAAAUAUUCGAUAUAUUUUGCUUCAGUUUAGAAAAUCUUUGAUGACCCGUCUUUAGAUCCAAUAAGCCCUAUAAUUAAGAAAUAAAU